rnacentral:rRNA from 1 species
AAAAGAAACUAACAAGGAUUUCCCUAGUAACGGCGAGUGAAGCGGGAAGAGCUCAAAUUUGAAAUCUGGUAGCCUUCGGUUGCCCGAGUUGUAAUCUAGAGAAGUGUUUUCCGCGUUGGCCCAUGUACAAGUCCCUUGGAACAGGGCGUCAUAGAGGGUGAGAAUCCCGUCCUUGACAUGGACCCCCAAUGCUUUGUGAUACACUUUCAACGAGUCGAGUUGUUUGGGAAUGCAGCUCAAAAUGGGUGGUGAAUUCCAUCUAAAGCUAAAUAUUGGCGAGAGACCGAUAGCGAACAAGUACCGUGAGGGAAAGAUGAAAAGCACUUUGGAAAGAGAGUUAAACAGUACGUGAAAUUGUUGAAAGGGAAACGAUUGAAGUCAGUCAUGCUCUUUGGAUUAAGCCGUUCUGCGGUGUAUUUCAUUGAGCGGGGUCAACAUCAGUUUUGAUCGCUGGAAAAGGGCAGGAGGAAGGUAGCACUCUCGGGUGAACUUAUAGCCUCUUGUCGUAUACAGUGAUUGGGACUGAGGAACGCAGCAUGCCUUUUGGCCGGGAUUCGUCCACGUACAUGCUUAGGAUGUUGACAUAAUGGCUUUAAACGACCCGUCUUGAAA